CGCGACAACGCAUGUGGACCAGUUUCCUUAUUUGAGUCCCUUUUUUCAGUUCAUUUUACUCGUGUCUAGAAGCCCUUACACUUCGCGAAUUUUUCGCAAAAUCAGUUUUUAGAGAACUCCUAAGUCUUUUUGCGGGAAUAUUUGUAAUUCUUAGUAUUGGAGUACAAUUGUGAGAUUAUAAAACACUGUAGUCAUUGCGUACCUAUUGAUGAGAUUAAUUUUUUGCUAAAACUAAUUAGUCAGAAUCAGUACAAGAAAUAGCGUCUCUGCAUGAACCUUAGAAAAUAAAAAUGUCACCCACACCCCCUACCCAAAGAGGUUUGCGUUCAGCGCUCGAAUCAGUAAAUCUAAAAUCUAUCUUGCGGUAAAGUUUUUAAAAACAAGAUUGACGAAUAACUUCAGGUGGUUUGGGCUUGGAUUUGUUUGUCUUAUAAAGACAGUGUGCCAGGUCCGCAACCAUAGGAUUCGUUUUACAGUUCUAAUAUACUUUCCCUAAUAGAGCAGUCACAAUUUACAGAAUUUGUAGUGUUUCUAUGCUUCCGUUUACGGUCCAGGAAAUCCAGUCACUGGGAUAUUUUCAAAUGUUUAGUCUGUUCAAGUAUAGUUCCAUGCAGCAAAACCUCGCUAAUGGAAAUACAUACACGGUACAUACUACAAAGUGUAGACUUGCUGGAGUAAUAUUUAAUUUUAUUGCCAUACUGAAUUAUUCCAAUUAUAUUUCGAACAUUAUCUUACAUUAAAGGACGAUAUCAAAACUUUAGGCAUAAAAUUUACCAAAAGUUCAUCAUUAACUUGUCUGAAAGAAACAUUUCUCCACAUAUACAUAUUCUAUGAUCUUCAGAUACGACCUGUCUGUGUUUAAUUAGACCAUCAAAAAUCUUGAAGGAACCAUGAGUUACCUUUUCUCAAGAUUUCAUCAUAAAAACACGAACAUGACAGUACUUUUGAUCUUUAAACUCUUUUCUACUACUGAUUGGAAUAUAAAGGCCGUUAUAAUAGUUUGUAUACACCAAUGAUCGGUUGUACGAAGGCCGGAUUGCAAUUUUUCAACCGUUGUAAAAAUGCUUGGAAAGUAAUAAAAAUAGGAACAUGGUUCCCAACAACUGGAAUAUUUAUAUACUAAAGUUGAGAUUGGAUUUUACCCGAGUCACUGUCCGGUGGAUAACUCUAUCCGGCCGUCGUACAACCCAGCCACAAUACAAUUUAAAGUUCUAAACACUUAAUUAACCCUGAAUAAAUUUGAGUUCCCUUAAUUUUUACAUAUUUCUUGGUAGUUGAGGUUCAUAGUAGCUAUGAGCUAGGACACUUCCAUCUGCAUCGUCUUCUGUUAUACGCCUUGGCUAUCUUGUUCCUGAGAAAAAGAACAAAUUUUGAAUGGAGUUCAGGUCCAAGUUGUUGUCUGUUGUGCACUAGCCUGCUCACAGACGUUGUUAUUCUUACGCCAAGCGACGAAUUACUACCGUCUGCUUACCCGAGCGUCAAACUGAAUUCCGCUACGUCGACCAAUCAGAAUUUACCUUCCAAAUUCUGGAAAGUGACGUCAGUUGAUUUAGGAGCGGAAAAAAUAUAAAUAUAUAUUUUGAAAGCAGUCGUCGGUUGAAUUUUGGUCAAAAUUGCACAUAAAUUGAAUUUAAAGAUACUGAUACUUGUCAUGCAGGUAAUAAAAUGCACCAUUAAUGAUCAGAUUUGGAUAUUAAAGAUGUUCGGUUAUAUUUAAAACGCGGACAGGAUUGGCAUAUUUAAUAUACUGUAUGAAGCAAGACAGGCGAGACAGCAUCAAAUGCCGAAUAUAUUUCGCUGAAAUUUGUACUUUUGACGGAUGUUUAUCUUUAUAAGACAACAGAACUCGGAAGACAGAAAAUUUUAUAUAAUACUGUCAGUGGCUUAGAAAGCGAAAUAUUAUCUUCAGAGUAAACUAAUUUGCUGUUUGAGCAAUCACUUCUGAAUGUAAACUGUAAACACAACACAAAACGAGAAACUUGUAUUAAAAUUGCGCCGUGAUGAAUUUUCCAAUUCGUCCAAAAUUUGAAACGUUUAUACUCUAACUUGGCUAUACUUUUCUACAUGACAAUGAGAGCUUAAUCUUUUAGAAGUUUUCGUCGAAGUCAUGGCAUAUAGGAAGUAUCAAGAGCAACAUUUGGACAUAUCCUGAUAUACUCGAGUUUCCCGAUUGAUUGUUUGCCUUUGACAUUGUUAACAAAAAUUUAAAUUUCGCCUACUGCAUAACCCGCGUGCAGGCCCAAGGGAGCAGGUUCAAGGGAACUUGAUAGUAGGCCUGCAAGCAAGGCCCGGUAUUUUGUACCUUCCGCGUUCGCCCACGAACGCGGCAUUCUGAUUGGCUGUUUGCGGUUGGAUUCUAUAAUUAGGUCAGUAAUUCAUCACAAAGGCUCUCGAUAAGCUCAAAAUUCGAAAAUUGAUCACUUUUUUCGAUUAUAAAUGGAACAAGAGCAGACUGUUUAUUGUUUACUAGAAGGAAGAGAUGUUUUUGCCGUUAUGCCAAUGGGGAUUGCUUGUCGUGAGUUGUUGGAAUAGCAACAUUACGACUGGGGUAAACUAUAGUAACCUUUACUUGAGUUUCAUUAAUUUCAAGCAGACUUGAUACGUUAUAUGUUCCUCAAGAAAAUUAUCUUUUGGUUGAUGUUGAGAUGCAGUUGCAUGUAAGGACUGUAAGCCUAUUCGAAACACUUUGCGAUUUACAAGGCUUCGCUAAGAGAACGAAACAGAAGACGGUAUAUUUAAAUUGCCGUUUGAAACGAAACGGUCUGGACUCUGAACGCUCUCUUCUUUUGUAGAGUUCUUUACCAAAUGAAAUAACUGAAAUAAAUUUCGUACUUUCCGCCGCCAACAAGAAUUGCACACACGAUCUGAUAAGUG
rnacentral:lncRNA from 1 species